UAGAACCUAAGAGCACAUGCCAGAA
rnacentral:piRNA from 1 species